UUGACCUCAAAUCAGGUAGGACUACCCGCUGAACUUAAGCAUAUCAAUAAGCGGAGGAAAAGAAACUAACAAGGAUUCCCCUAGUAACUGCGAGUGAAGCGGGAAAAGCUCAAAUUUGAAAUCUGGCGGUUCGUUGGACUGUCCGAGUUGUAAUCUAGAGAAGUGUCUACCUGUG
rnacentral:rRNA from 1 species